rnacentral:rRNA from 1 species
UACAGAGGGUGCGAGCGUUAAUCGGAAUUACUGGGCGUAAAGGGCUCGUAGGCGGCCAACUAAGUCAUACGUGAAAUCCCUCGGCUUAACCGGGGAACUGCGUCUGAUACUGGAUGGCUUGAGAUUGGGAGAGGGAUGCGGAAUUCCAGGUGUAGCGGUGAAAUGCGUAGAUAUCUGGAGGAACACCGGUGGCGAAGGCGGCAUCCUGGACCAACACUGACGCUGAGGAGCGAAAGCCAGGGGAGCAAACGGG